GGGGAUUUAGCUCAGUGGUAGAGCACUUGCCUAGCAAGCGCAAGGCCCUGGGUUCGGUCCCCCUAUCCCUG
rnacentral:tRNA from 1 species